rnacentral:rRNA from 1 species
ACCCUUUAGACAGGAAUAGCCCAUGGAAACGUGGAUUAAUGCCUGAUAGUCUCUACGGAGUAAAUGGUGCCUCCGGGUAUCGCUAGAGGAUGGGCUCGCGGCCUAUCAGCUUGUUGGUGAGGUAAAGGCUCACCAAGGCGACGACGGGUAGCUGGUCUGAGAGGACGAUCAGCAACACUGGAACUGAGACACGGUCCAGACACCUACGGGUGGCAGCAGUCGAGAAUCAUUCACAAUGGAGGCAACUCUGAUGGUGCAACGCCGCGUGGAGGAUGACGGUCCUAGGAUUGUAAACUCCUGUCAUUGGGGAGUAAGACUUAAGCGUUAAGAGCGUUUAAGUUUGAUAGUACCCAAAGAGG